rnacentral:rRNA from 1 species
UACGUAGGGUGCAAGCGUUGUCCGGAAUUAUUGGGCGUAAAGAGCUCGUAGGCGGUCUGUCGCGUCGGCUGUGAAAACCCGGAGCUCAACUCCGGGCCUGCAGUCGAUACGGGCAGACUGGAGUUCGGCAGGGGAGACUGGAAUUCCUGGUGUAGCGGUGAAAUGCGCAGAUAUCAGGAGGAACACCGGUGGCGAAGGCGGAUCUCUGGGCCAUUACUGACGCUGGGGAGCGAAAGCGUGGGGAGCGAACAGG